CUAGCAUUAAAAAGUACUUAUUUCUUUAGAAUUCUGGUACAUCAGCUAUAAUAACCCGCAGCAGGAAAUCAACCAGUCCUUGAUUUUUCUAAUUUCUGUUGGCUGAGAGCCUUUAUUGGGACAUUCUAUUAAAUUUCCUUUCUAUCUACAUAGAGAGAUUCAUUCUAUAUUUGAGAUAUGUUUAUCUAGAGAACCUGUACUAAUCCAACUGUGGUUUUUCUCUAUUUCGCCACUGAUGAAGAUGUGCUGUCUAUUAAGAGGGCACAACAGUGUUUCCCUUAUGUUUCUGGCUUUUCUCCCAGGGUUAUUUAAUGCCUAUCAUUGGUGAAAGGGUGCUGUGGUUUCCCUGAGCCCAGCAUGAAGCCACAAAUCAAAACUCUCGUUUCCUAAAAAUCCCUCUUUAAUGUUAAUUGCCUAGGCAUUCUUCCACUCAGUGGGUCAGAUUGAUACCUACACUGCACAGGAGUAAUGGGCUAUGUAAGCCAUUCACCUUGAUUUCAGGAAGAAGAGGGCAAGUAAGCUCAGGAAAGCUCAGGUAAGGUCUGAAGUCAGGCCCUUGUAAGUGCAGGAUCAUUACUCACAGAGGGAGGAGCAGGCAGCUGAAUAGCCUAAACUGGUCUGGAUGCAGUGACUUAUGAUGCUGUGCAUGUGAACUUUCCUAGGGAAGAGUAGAAUUUGCUGGAUCCUUCCUAGAAGAGUCUCUACAAAGAUGUGAUGCAGGAAACCUACUUGGACCUCACUGUUAUAGGCCACACUUGGGAAGACUAUCAUAUUGAAGGACAUUGUCAAAGUUUGAGAAGACAUGAAAGGUAAUCUUCAUGUGCACUCUGAUACGCAUAUGGCUCUGAGGAAAUUUUAAUAUGUUCUGGAAGCUCUAAAGAAAAGCAAGAGUGCCGGGCAGUAGUGGCGGACACCUUUAAUCCCAGCACUUGGGAGGAAGAAGCAACACAGAAAAACCUGAGAAAAGUGGCUCAGGACAGGACCCUGGCGAUUCAAGAAUAGAAACCAACCUCAGAGGAGGAAUCUGACUCAGAAAAUAAAUUCACAUAACAUUGUGAAUAUAAAGGGCUUGCUGUGUGCAUUUAAAGAGGAGCCAGUCCACAGGACCCCCUGAAAAACAUGAAAAGGCAGUAAAAGAUUCUGACAGAUUGUAAAAGGUCACAAAAGACCUGAAAUUGGCAAAACAGAUUUCAUUUUUAUUAGAAGUACCUCCAUUGAUUUAGAAAAAUAGAGGUGCACAAUGCUCUGGCCACACCUCGAACCUGUGUGUCUGCCAAUGUUGUGACCGUUCCUUGAACCCAGGUGUGACCCACUGC
rnacentral:lncRNA from 1 species